CGAUUGACACGACUUUCGGCAAUGGAUAUCUCGGCUCUCGCAUCGAUGAAGAGCGCAGCGAAAUGCGAUACGUGGUGCGAAUUGCAGAAUCCCGCGAACCAUCGAGUCUUUGAACGCAAGUUGCGCCCGAGGCCAACCGGCCAAGGGCACGUCCGCCUGGGCGUCAAG
rnacentral:rRNA from 1 species